rnacentral:rRNA from 1 species
AUUGAACGCUGGCGGCAUGCCUUACACAUGCAAGUCGAACGGUAACAGGUUAAGCUGACGAGUGGCGAACGGGUGAGUAAUGUAUCGGAACGUGCCCAGUCGUGGGGGAUAACUGCUCGAAAGAGCAGCUAAUACCGCAUACGACCUGAGGGUGAAAGCGGGGGAUCGCAAGACCUCGCGCGAUUGGAGCGGCCGAUAUCAGAUUAGGUAGUUGGUGAGGUAAAGGCUCACCAAGCCGACGAUCUGUAGCUGGUCUGAGAGGACGACCAGCCACACUGGGACUGAGACCCGGCCCAGACUCCUACGGGAGGCAGCAGUGGGGAAUUUUGGACAAUGGGCGCAAGCCUGAUCCAGCCAUGCCGCGUGCGGGAAGAAGGCCUUCGGGUUGUAAACCGCUUUUGUCAGGGAAGAAAAGGUUCUGGCUAAUACCUGGGACUCAUGACGGUACCUGAAGAAUAAGCACCGGCUAACUACGUG